rnacentral:lncRNA from 1 species
CAUCCAAAGAGGUGUCCUUGCCUGUGGCUCUCUCAUUCGUUUACUAUUGCAUCACUCCAGGGUGUGGCUGGGUUGAAAAAGGCUCUGGUUUCAGCCACACGGGACUGAAACAUAUGAAAAAGUGCUCUUUGAAGACACGUUGGUCAUCCAUUAUUUUUAAAUACUUUCCUUAAAAUGAACUCGCUUUUUCCAGUAGUUUUCAGCUGCAUGUUCUACUCCUUGUGAGCUGUAAACAGGAUGGAAAAGCUACCAACAAGCUAAUGACCUGGCUCAUGGGAGGACAGGAGGGGAACAGAGAAUGGCAACUUCUUAUUCCCGACACUGACUUCUGUCCUGGAUUGUUCCCAAGAGCCCAAUCAGCUCCGGAUGCACCAACAACACUGAGUUUCUGUGCCUAUGAGGCUGAUGACCAGAUCUGUGAUCAGAGUAAAGUCACUUGUAUGCUGUCCCAGGCAAACCUGGGAAGCCAACUUGAGUCCCAAAUUGUUGGUUUCUGCAGUCACAGAAUUGUGUUCUCCAGUGACAUAAUGUCUGCUUGAGUUCACUCAAGGAGUCCUAUCUUCACCAUCACCAUGCUUGGGAAAUGAGACUUAAAUCAUUGGAAAAUCCCCUUGCCAAUUGGCCCUCUUGGUAUUUAACUUUGAUAAUUCUUCUUUCCUUGUUUAUUGACCCCUGAUUGAUAAAAUGGAACAAAGAUGGCAAAUAUAAGGCAUACAUAUCGCCACUACUCGCACCCACGUUCUUUGCGCACAUUACUAAUGAAUCAUGGCUUUCUUUUCUAGCAAAAUGGAGGUAGAAUUUGGCCUUCCAGGAAGACAGGACAAAUCCAUUAAAUUUGUUAGAUGAGAUGCAGCAUAUUUAUCAUUUCUGCUCUAAAGGUGUCUAUGCGCUUUUUCAAGAAGUAGUAUCUCAAUUAUCUAUGACUUUAUGACACGCCAACCCAAAAUUCAGUGGCUUGCAAAUACAAUGUAUGUUCUCAUGAUUCUCUGGACCAGCACUUGAAUUGAGCCCAACUGGGGAGUUCUGACUUUGCCUGGCUGCAGUCAGCAGGUAGCUCGAUGGGGACUGGAGGGUCGAAAACAGCCUUGCUCACGUGACUCCAAUGUGCUUUUCAAGUUCUGUUUGUAUCACAUUUACUAAGGUCUUACCAGGCAGGCAAAGGAAGCCCAGAAUCAGUGCGGAGAGGGCUCCAUGAAGACCUGGAUUCAGAGAGGCAUGAUUCAUGAGGGGCCAUUUCUGUUAACAGUCUACUCCAGAUUAGGUGGCAUUUCAUUGACCAGAAACUUCCUGAGUGCCUACUAUGAGCCAGCAACGGUGCUUGGCACUGUGGAUAAAAUGACAAAAGGAUUGGGAAGCACUUUGAAGACUGGAAAGGCUGUGGCUAGAAGCAAAGAGGGAAGAAUUAAAACCAUGAUCUGAAUCACUGCGGGUGCAACAAUCCAUGUGUGUGCGCGUGUGCGUGUUUGUAGUGUGUGCUCGAUGGAAGAGGGGCAUUGAAUUAUUUAGAUAACUUCUUCUAUUCUCCAUUUCAUGUGGAUC